UUUUCUGCCACCGAAUACAUUAGCMUGGGAUAAUGGAAUAGGACCCUGUGUAAAUUUUCRGUUGGUUUUGGCAGCGCGAGGACUAGGGUAAUGAUUAAUAGGGAUAGUUGGGGGCAUUAAUAUUUAAUUGUCAGAGGUGAAAUUCUUGGAUUUAUGAAAGAUUAACUUCUGCGAAAGCAUCUGCCAAGGAUGUUUUCAUUAAUCAAGAACGAAAGUUAGGGGAUCGAAGACGAUCAGAUACCGUCGUAKSCUUAACCAUAAACGAUGCCGACCAGCGAUUAGGAGACGUUGAAUACAAAACACCACCAUCGGCGCGGUCGUCCUUGGCGUCUCUGUCCCUUUCAACGGGGGCAGGCGCGAGGGCGGUUUAGCCCGGUGGCACCGGUGAAUGACUCCCCUAGCAGCUUGUGAGAA
rnacentral:rRNA from 1 species